rnacentral:rRNA from 1 species
UUGCCUCAGUAACGGCGAGUGAAGCGGCAACAGCUCAAAAUUUGAAAUCUGGCCCUCUUUGGGGGGUCCGAGUUGUAAUUUGUAGAGGAUGUUUUCGGGUACCCGCCUCGGUUUAAAUUUCUUGGAACAGAAUGUCAGAGAGGGUGAGAAUCCCGUCUUGGACCGGCGGUAGGGCCCAUGUGAAACUCCUUCGACGAGUCGAGUUGUUUGGGAAUGCAGCUCAAAAUGGGUGGUAAAUUUCAUCUAAAGCUAAAUAUUGGCCAGAGACCGAUAGCGCACAAGUAGAGUGAUCGAAAGAUGAAAAGAACUUUGAAAAGAGAGUUAAACAGUAUGUGAAAUUGUUGAAAGGGAAGCGCUUGCAACCAGACUUGAGCGCGGCGGUUCCCCCUUCCUUUUGGUUGGGUUACUCCGCCGUGUCCAGGCCAACAUCGGUUCUGGGGGUCGGUUAAAGGCCCGGGGAAUGUAUCUACUCCUCCGGGGGUAGACUUAUAGCCCCGGGUGUCAUGCGACCACCCGGGACCGAGGAACGCGCUUCGGCUCGGAUGUUGGCGUAAUGGUUGUCAGCGACCCGUCUUGAAACACGGACCAAGGAGUCUAACAUCUAUGCGAGUGUUUGGGUGUCAAACCCGGAACGCGGAAUGAAAGUGAACGGAGGUAGGAAGCCUUUAGGCUGCACUAUCGACCGAUCCUGAUGUCUUCGGAUGGAUUUGAGUAAGAGCAUAGCUGUUGGGACCCGAAAGAUGGUGAACUAUGCCUGAAUAGGGUGAAGCCAGAGGAAACUCUGGUGGAGGCUCGCAGCGGUUCUGACGUGCAAAUCGAUCGUCAAAUUUGGGUAUAGGGGCGAAAGACUAAUCGAACCAUCUGGUCGCUGGUUCAUGCCGAAGU